rnacentral:lncRNA from 7 species
AUGGGACAGACACUCUGCAAGUGGUUGCCGUCAACGCGCACGGUGUGCGUGGAGACACAGGAGGCUGCUGUCUUGAGGGAGCCUGGUGAGAGCCAAGUAUCCCUGCACGCAGCUCCCUGCCGCUGGGCAGAGGGGUGCUGGGGGUCUGCCUGCGGCGGAGAGGGAGGCAGGGGCACGCAGGGACUCCUCAGGCGCCAUGGGCAGGGCCCCUCUGCUCCUUGGCCAGGGGGCCGCGGUUGGGCUAUGGCUGCCUGCUGGCACCGCUGGGCCUGCACUGCCCCUUCCCCUCCACGGCCUCCGGCCCUGCCCCUCAGCUGGCACGGCAAGCACAGAGCAGCCCCUGGGGCACCUGGCCCGGCAAGGUGCGCUCACUGCUGUUACUCUCUUACUCUCUCCUCUCCAGCAUGCAUGCUUUGUGGCCGAGUGGAUGAGGACUCGAGCACACUUGGGCACAAAGAAGAGAACGGGGGAUUCUAUUUCCAUGAGUUUUGUGCGGUGAGUUCACUCGCGGCUCCUGCCAGCUUUCUCCAAGGAAUGCUUCCCUCCUUUUUGCAUUAAUGAGAUAAUGUGGUUCCUCUUGUACAGUUAUUUGCCAACGGUCUUUGCGAAUACGUGGAAGGUAUUGGUGAGGCACGUUUUUCCAUAGAAGACCUGAUACGCACAUUGACGCAGGCAGCGCAGACGGUGAGAACUAUACCAGAACAGGGAGCUUUGUGUGAGCUUAGCCAGGUCCAAAGAAAGCAAUCCCAGCCCUUCCAACCAGCCCCAGGAGAAAGUCCUGCUCUUGCAGACGAGCCCUGUUCACCAGGCAGCUCUGCAGAGUGCCACCCAGCCCUGCCCGCACGCUGUGCCCUGCCCAGAGGUGCGGGGCCCGCUGCGUAGGCCCUGAGCCUGCUGCUGAUGGGGGCCGCUCUGCUCUUUCUUUCCAGCUCUGCUUCGUCUGUGGCAAUGUGGGGGCCACCAUCACCUGCGCAGAGGCGGGCUGUGACCGCAGCUUCCAUCUCCCCUGCGCCUCCGAGGGUGAAUGUGUCACCCAGUACUUUGGAGAGUUCAGGUAAGGGCUGCCAGGCAUCGCCAGUGAACCUCCAACCCCUGCUGUCAGCACCAGGCAAAGCAGUGAGGAACGCGCUGCGACAGCUCCCAGCAGCCUGACAGAGCCAGAGCCAAGGCCUGGGGCUCCUUCCUGCUCCUCUGCCCUCCUCGCAGCACUUCUCACCUUGCCCAUCCCUCACAUCUUCCUCCAGUUCCUUCUGCUGGGAGCACCGCCCGCAGCAGGCAGGGGAGGCAGCACCAACGCAGGACACGACCUGCAUCAUCUGCAUGGAGCCCGUGGGUGACAGCAGGUCGUACAGCACCAUGGUGUGCACAGCCUGCCAACAUGCCUGGUUCCACCGGGCCUGCAUCCAGGUAGGAGCCCUCUCCUCACCCUGUGGGCAUGGCAGGUGCUCAGCAGCACCAGGCCCGGCUCACACUCACCCUGCUUGUGUUUCUGCUUCAGGAACAGGCCCUGCGUGCAGGGGUUUAUUGCUUCCAGUGCCCCCUCUGCCGAGACUGGACCUGGUUUGUUCCAGACUUGCUCCUUAUGGGGAUCCGAAUCCCAUUCAGGUUGGUGUCUUUCAGCCAGCUCUUGAGAUGUGAGGGCACAAGAGCUGAGUCUGCUCAGGGACGGCACUGGCAGGCCUGGCCCUUUGCAGCCAUUAACAUGGGCCUCAGUAUCAUUGGGAAGCUGGAAGUGGGGACAGGGUGGAAGGGGUGGGAUGCCAUGGUUCAGUUUUAGUCCUGGGGCAGUGAUUGCUCAUCACAUUCCCUCCUUUCUCUGGCAGAACACCAACAUGGGAGGACAAUAAUGCCUACGCAUCACUACUAGAGAGGCACAGGAGCUGUGAUGCCAGCGACUGCCAUUACCCACACGGCAGGGAGCAGGCAGAGGAAGCGGGGUGAGUUACCUCUGUGUGGGAUCACAGCCUCAGCACAGGCUGGGGGAGCACAGACUGAGCACCAGAGCUGUGCCGGGCACUCCCUGGCUCAGGUCACUUUGUCCUCAUGGCCACAACCCAUUGGUUUCCCCAGGCCCUGGGAGCUACUCCUCUGCUGCUCCUGUGCUGCACAAGGCACUCAUCGACUCUGCUCCAACCUGAGUCAGAGCACAGCCAGCUGGGAGUGCAACGCCUGUGCUGGAGAGGGCACCGGUAAGAGGCAAUAGUCCCUCUGGUCCAGGAGGGAUAGGAGCCUGUCCCACCCCAGUGCUAGAGUUCAAUCCCGCUCACCAUCCUGUCUCCUCUUACAGCCUCCAGCACCAACUCAGAUCUUGUUGGCCUCAGCACUAGCAGCCAGCAGGGACUGGGGCCAGCCCAAGGCUCUGGGACACCAGAGAGCAGCAGCUCCAGCACCACCAGCCAGGCACCACUGACACCAGCACACGGUUCCCAUGUGCCUGAAAACAGUG